AUUGAACGCUGGCGGCGUGCCUAACACAUGCAAGUCGAGCGGUAACAGGUGUAGCAAUACAUGCUGACGAGCGGCGGACGGGUGAGUAACGCGUGGGAACAUACCCCUCGGUUCGGAAUAACUCAGGGAAACUUGAGCUAAUACCGGAUACGUCCGAUGUUUUAAUCGACCUUGGAGAAAGAUUUAUCGCCGGAGGAUUGGCCCGCGUCUGAUUAGCUUGUUGGUGAGGAAUGGCUCACCAAGGCGACGAUCAGUAGCUGGUCUGAGAGGAUGAUCAGCCACAUUGGGACUGAGACACGGCCCAAACUCCUACGGGAGGCAGCAGUGGGGAAUAUUGGACAAUGGGCGAAAGCCUGACGCAGCAACGCCGCGUGGGGG
rnacentral:rRNA from 1 species